AUAUGAUGGCCUUUCCAUGGGUGUGUGGAGCCUGAGAGUCAUUCUCUACCUGAUGACCACUGGUCCCUGCCUUUUGUGGGAGAGGACUUUGAGGAGCCGCAGGAUCCUCUCUCCCUUCACUUUACAUACAGUAUGAAGAUCCUGAGCUCCGUAGAGCCCUAUGAGAUGGUGCAGGAGAUGAGCCAGGUGACUCAAGCAGCUGCACAUGGGAGCGACGCAACCAGCACAAUUUGCUGUGUGUACAGGGCAUGCCCUGCUGAGAGGGAUUUUGUAGAGAAGGAAUACAGGUGUGCAAAUUGUUGUGGCAGAGUUGUCUUCAUGGGGUCCAAUUUAUGAGGGUAUCUGGCACCUCCAUGUCCUUCAAAAAUCAUGUGUCCAAAGUAAAUGCUGAGCUUAAAUUCUAAAGGACACCAGAGGCCACCUGGGAGACAGGAAAGGAAGUCCACCUGGUCCUAGCUGCAGGCUGGCCCUCUGCCCCGACCUGGGGAGCUUGAGACUGGACUAUUUCUCGAGGCACCUCUCCAACUCAUGUUCUUCUCUCUUUUUU
rnacentral:lncRNA from 1 species